GGUAUUUAAAAGGUGGAUAUUCCUUCUAUGUUUACGUGAUUCAUAGAUAAUCAUAGAGGAAAAUCCAUGUUUUCAGUAUCAAAUGCUG
rnacentral:pre_miRNA from 1 species